rnacentral:rRNA from 1 species
AUCCGCUUUGGGAGUGGCCUGCGUACGAUUAGAUAGUUGGUGAGGUAAUGGCUCACCAAGUCUACGAUCGUUAACUGGUUUGAGAGGAUGAUCAGUCAGACUGGAACUGAGACACGGUCCAGACUCCUACGGGAGGCAGCAGUGAGGAAUCUUCCACAAUGGACGAAAGUCUGAUGGAGCAACUCCGCGUGCAGGAUGAAGGCCUUCGGGUCGUAAACUGCUUUAUGAGUGAAGAAUAUGACGGUAACUCAUGAAUAAGGGUCGGCUAACUACGUG